rnacentral:lncRNA from 1 species
UAUAAAGGAAUAAUAGAUAUACAAUUCAUUGAUAGGGAUCAUCAAUGAGCUAAUAUAUUUACUAAACCUCUAGCUAUUAAAAGAUUUCAUUUUAUUAAAAUGAAUCUGAACAUUCUUUUUUGUAAAGGAGUAAUGUUUUCUUCUAGGUGAGGGAUCAAAGUCUGACGAUGAUGAUCAAAAGUCACUACAAUCACAGUCUGUCUUAGCCUCUAAU